AUAGGCUGCAUGCAAACAGAAGAGGAGAGGAGUCAAAGGACCUUUGAGAUCAAUAGACAUGUCUAAGUAGCGGGAAGGAGAGAGUCCAAGUCUGCCCGCAUAGUAAAAAGAGUGACAGUCUUGCUUUGUCUGUGUUGCUCAAGAGUAAGAAACCAGAAACUAGGAAAAUGUGGCAAAGGCAACCGAACAAGAUGCAGCAUAUGUGGGCAAAAUGAAAUAAAGAAACAGAGAUACGACAAAAAGAUCAUGCAAUGGUCAUUAGGGAAACAAUACAAGGGAAGGAUAAAGCAAAACAAGUGCAGUUUCAAAGGUACAAAGAAGUUUGAUUUUUCAUCAAUUGAACUGAUGCUUGUUGCACCAUGCAACUAAGAAGAGAAAAAAGGGAGGGCACCACAUCCAAAACAGAAAUGCUCUGGAUAACUAGUCAUUCAAUUUUCUGUUUCCCUUUUGUCUAUAAGCAUAAAGGACCUUUUCAACUUGGAAACAAGAAGGUGCACAAUUUCGAAGGAAAAGAGGUGUUGUCUGUUUGCCUUGU